GUGCUCACUUCAGCAGCACAUACACUAAAACUGGAAUGACACAGAGAUUAGAAUGUCCCUGCACAAGGAUGACAUGGAAAUCCAUGAGGCAUUCCAUCAUUUU
ensembl:snRNA U6 U6 spliceosomal RNA